AAACAGAUUAAGCAAGCACUGCAUGCUGCAAGAAUAUGCAGAGACAGUCCCUUUUGGCAGCAUGACUCAAUUUGAUAUUCACCCUAUUGUUUCCUUACAUAAGGGACAAUUUAUGAUUAUUCUUAAAAGAAAUAGGUAGCUUCACUUCUGCAUAUAUACUUUUGUAUUUCACUAGUUAAAAAUUUUUCAUAACUGCCACUUUUGAGAAUUUUGUAUAAAUACAACAUAAUUUACAUUAAACUUCAUAUGCUACACCA